rnacentral:rRNA from 1 species
GACGAACGCUGGCGGCGUGCUUAACACAUGCAAGUCGAACGGUGAUGCUCCAGCUUGCUGGAGUGGAUCAGUGGCGAACGGGUGAGUAACACGUGAGCAACCUGCCCCAGACUCUGGAAUAAGCUCUGGAAACGGCGUCUAAUACUGGAUACGAAACUGGCCCGCAUGGGCAUGGUUUGGAAAGUUUUUCGGUUUGGGAUGGGCUCGCGGCCUAUCAGCUUGUUGGUGAGGUAAUGGCUUACCAAGGCGACGACGGGUAGCCGGCCUGAGAGGGCGACCGGCCACAAUGGGACUGAGACACGGCCCAGACUCCUACGGGAGGCAGCAGUGGGGAAUAUUGCACAAUGGGCGAAAGCCUGAUGCAGCGACGCCGCGUGAGGGAUGACGGCCUUCGGGUUGUAAACCUCUUUCAGCAGGGAAGAAGCGAAAGUGACGGUACCUGCAGAAGAAGCACCGGCUAACUACGUG